GGGAAGCACAAGGAGGCAGGAAGGAAAGGCUCUGAGAAAAAGCACUCUCAGGGCUCCUGUCUGCCUCUGUCAGGGAGGAGAUAAAGACUGAAGAGAAUACAAUAGGAAGGAGUCUGUCUCUCUGAGCAAGAUUAUUUACUCUAACCCUAGCUGAUGCUUUGUGGGUAGCUGUCACAAUGCAGAUGCGUCUGGGAUCAGCUUUCUUAUGUUUUAUACUCCUAACCAGGAAAUCCUUGGAAUUUCUGCUCUGUGGAUUCAAUAAGGAAUCAGCUGGGAGUCAGGGGGAGAAGUGAUGCUGAGCCUGAAUGCUUUCCAGCAGCCUACUCUAACGUUUUGACAGCGUGUGCUCACAGCACAGAGCAGCUAUAGGAAAUGAAAGCUGACAGUACAUGGAGUUCAGCACAAAGGCGGAGGUUAGAAGGUAAA